AGCGAACGCUGGCGGCAGGCCUAACACAUGCAAGUCGAACGAAGUCUUCGGACUUAGUGGCGGACGGGUGAGUAACACGUGGGAACGUACCUUUUGGUUCGGAGCAACUCAGGGAAACUUGAGCUAAUACCGAAUGUGCCCUUCGGGGAAAGAUUUAUCGCCAUUAGAGCGGCCCGCGUUAGAUUAGCUAGUUGGUGGGG
rnacentral:rRNA from 1 species